UCCUGGCUCAGGAUGAACGCUGGCGGCGUGCCUAACACAUGCAAGUCGAACGAAGUCACUUACUUACGAUUCUUUCGGGAUGACGAGUAUUUGACUGAGUGGCGGACGGGUGAGUAACGCGUGGGUAACCUACCUCACACAGGGGGAUAACAGUUAGAAAUGACUGCUAAUACCGCAUAAGCGCACAGUGCUCCGCAUGGCACAGUGUGAAAAACUCCGGUGGUGUGAGAUGGACCCGCGUCUGAUUAGCUAGUUGGUGAGGUAACGGCCCACCAAGGCAACGAUCGGUAGCCGGACUGAGAGGUCGAACGGCCACAUUGGGACUGAGACACGGCCCAGACUCCUACGGGAGGCAGCAGUGGGGAAUAUUGGUCAAUGGGGGAAACCCUGAUGCAGCAACGCCGCGUGAGGGAAGACGGUUUUCGGAUUGUAAACCUCUGUCCUCUGUGAAGAAGAAAGUGACGGUAGCAGAGGAGGAAGCCACGGCUAACUACGUG
rnacentral:rRNA from 1 species